UUCGUGUCGAUCUCAGGCGUGUUCAGACGUAUAUCGCGCAACGCGUUUCGUUUUAUCAGACUUCUGUUUUCAAAGUUUGCAUUAUAUUCGGACGACAAUCGACUUAGUCGUAAUAUGCAUCUGCAGUGUCUUCUUAAUAAGAAAUUGUGCGUUUAAUGUGCAUAAAUGUUUUUUUUUGCUUUAUUUUGAUGUUUAUAUUUCAAAUCAAAUGUUUCGGUUAUUGUGGGACGUGGUCGAUCGCUAAAUCAAUCGGAAACCUAUUCAUGCUUGAUACUUGCCGUACCCUUGCAAUCCGAUGAGCGCUGCAUUGGUAAGUUUAUAAUUAAGUUAUAUUAUUCGGUUAAUCAUGUUUUAUCACAUUUCACCUGCGUGUUGCAAUAGCCCGCGAAUUAGGGGGGCUGUAUAUAUUUCACUUAAUGGUAAUAUGGAAAACGGAUCAUAUUCCGGAAAACCUUUGUGAAGUGUUCAAAUUCUUUAUCGGAUUCUGAUUGCGCAAGAGGGGUUUUGUUAAUUAUUUUGUUGAUUUAGUUGAGUCUCAUUCGGUGUACCUUAGCAGGAUAACGAUAGAAGUGACUCGUGUUCCGAGCACCGUAGGGGGUGAGGGUAGAAGUGACUCACAUUCAGCGCACCGUACGAGGGCAGCGGUAGUAGUGACUCGUGUUCAGAGCACCGUAGGGGGUAACAGUAGAAGUGAAUCGUGUUCGGGCAAUUUAAUGGCAUGUAAUUAAACGAACUUUAUUUUUUCGAUUUUUAACUUGUCAAUUCAUUAAAUGCACUUAUAAUUAAUGUUUGCACUUAAAAAUACAGAACUGAACUUAAAAAUAAA